AAAAAGAUAAGCUAAUUAAGCUACUGGGUUCAUACCCCAUCUAUGAGAGCUUCAAUCUCUCUCUUUUUA
rnacentral:tRNA from 1 species